rnacentral:lncRNA from 1 species
ACCUUACCACAUCAUUGAAGAGUAUUGGUGGAUAUCUUGGGCAAAUGUGCAUUAUCUUGGUGGAUAUCUUGGGCAAAUGUGCAACACCGUGAGGGAUAUCUUGGGCAAAUGUGCAAUACCAUGAGGGAUAUAUUGGGUAAAUGUGCAACACCAUGAGGGAUAUCUUGGGCAAAUGUGCAACAUAAUGAGGGAGAUAUUGGGCAAAUGUGCAAUACUAAUGGAUAAAAUGGUAUGAAAGAAAAUGUUGUAAGGUUAGUGGAUAUUUAUAAUAAGGCGUAAAAAAACACCAGUGGUUCUGGUUUCAUAUCGCGAAAAAAUUAGGGACGGUAGGUCGGAAAUAAAUUUUUUUGGAGUAUUUUUUUCAUGGUUUUUUCAAUAAUUAGUGUGACAACAGACGCCAUUUUGGCAGUAGCCCGCAACCACCUGGAGAAAAUAGGGUCGCACAGUCAAUCGCGUUGAAAAAAAUAAUAGGGUCGGUCGGGAACUGGAACCACAGGUAUUUUUUUACACCUAAUAUCAAUGAGGGGGGGGGGGUUCCUGCGAUUAGGAGCAAAGUAAGUCCAAAUUAAGAGGAAACAAUAUGGCGGAGUGUAACAAAUGAACAAUAUGGCAGACUGGUUAAUAUGUAACAAUGAUGCACAAUUAGAACAGGCAAAACGCAAAUGUUGCUGUAUAAACAUAUCACAAAAUAUGCUUCUGACAACUACAUGCUAUAUGUUGAUAGGAAUUUGAAUAAGUUUUCAGCAGGGAGCCAGGGAUGAUUUAGAAUUUUUGUUUUAUUUUUAUUGAUGAUUUUCUAUAAAUUAUGAUUUUCUAAUUAAUUAAUAUAUAGAUUGUAAUUUUGUAAUAUAGAAAAUAAUAGAGUUAUUGAAUUUGAAUAAGUUUUUAGGAGGCAUGAUUUUUAAUUUAUGAUUUUCUAUAAAUGGGUGCCCAACUAAUUUAAGAUUGUAGAUAUAAUAUAUAGAUUGUAGAUUUUGUAAUAUAGAAAAAAAUAGGCCUUAUCAAAAAACUUAAAUCCUGUGAAAAGACUAUAAAAUUUUUCAGCAAUGGCCCUUGGCAUUGCCGAAAUUCAAUGAUCAUGGCAUAUGUCAAAGUCUAGCUGUCUGUUGAAAAUCUACGGUAUUAAAAUAUACAUCAAACAGGGUACGUGCAGCCCCUGGAAAUCCUGGACAACCCUGGAUUUUUAUUUUAGUCCUGAAAAACCCUUGACUAAAACCAAUCAUAAAUAGAAAGGAAGUGACCAGAAAUGAUCAAAUACUUGGAAUUGGCUCUUUCACAGGAAGUGUAUGAAUAUUUUGAGGAACUUGAUGAAAUGAAUUGGUCAGCCCAAGGUAAUGUAUUGAAUCAAUAUUUGAGCAACACUUCAAUUGGAAUGACAGUAAACACUUAUAGAUUUAUAUUUCAAAUGCCCCUGGAAAACCCCUGGAAAAAGGAUGAAAAGAGUCCUGGAAAACCCUGGAUUUUUUAAAUUAUGAAGGUGUACGAACCCUGAUCAAAGAUAUUUCAAAUGACAAUAUAUUCAACAAACACUGCUUUUAUUGUAGUACGACAUUUAUAAAUUUUAUAAACAGCUUUCGUUUUGAGACAAGCUUUAAUUUUCUGCUUUAUAUAUAUAUAUAUUCUUUAUAAUAACAAGUGUGAAGUGAGAUUUCUUUUUUUUUGCUUUGUACAUUUAAAGUUUUAAUUGUGAAUCAUCUGUUUAUUUCUAGUUCAUUAGUCAUUAUGCUACUAUUAAGUAAAACAAUUAAGACUCUCAAAUAUAUUUGUACAUUUAUUUGAUAGCGUUAUAGUGAUACAUCUAUUUACACACAAGCAAUCCUGUAGAAACGAUACAAGCUGUCCAUUUAAAAAAUAACGUUAUUCUAUUCCAAGUAGAAGUAGAAAUUAGAAAACUCGAAAAUUUAUGUCUAUUUGUAAAUAGAGAAAGAGAGAAAAUUCAUAUGACAGUCUGUGUGCAUCUGACACUGUAAAUUUGUGAUAUAGAUAAUAGUAUAUUAGGAUUAUAGUAUAGAGACCAAGCAAAAGACUACAGCCUGACUAUUAAAUUACCGAAUACAAAUCAUGUACUAAAUCCAAAAUUUUGUGGGGAUAAAUCACUGACAGACAUUUCUCUGUUUGGCUAGUAGUAUCAAAUGUUUACAUUUGCCUAUAAUGGGCUCUAGUCCUAGAAAAUACAAUACUGUUUCUUUUAAAAAUCUUAUAAACAAGAUUACAAGACGUGCAAAGCAUAUCAACUUUUACAAGAAUUUAGGAUUUUUGUUUCUAUUUAUGAUUUUCUAUAAAGACUAUGUUGUAAGAUUAGUGGGUAUUUAUAAUAUUAAUAGCAAUAAAAUGUAGGGUUCCUGCGAUUGGGAACAAAGUAAGUCCAAAUUAAUUUAAGAGGAAACAAUAUGGCAGUGUGUAACAAUAAUAAUAAUAAUAUUUAUUCAAGAAGCUCGACUUACCGAACAAUAUAUAUGGUGGACUGAUUAAUUAAUCUAUGACAAUGAUGCAUGAUUAGAACAGGCAAAAAGCAAAUAUUGCAGCAUAAACAUAUUAUGAAAUAUGCUUAUUACAACUACAUGCUAUAUGUUGAUAGGAAUUUGAAUACGUUUUUAGCAGAGAUGAUUUAGAAUUUUCAUUUUAUUUCUAUAUUUAUGAAAUUCUAUAAAUGAGUGGAUUGAGUGCUGCAACUAAUUUGAGAUAUAAUAAUGUAUAAAACAUAGAUUGUAAAUUUUGUAAUAUAGAAAAUAAUAAAGUUCUUAUAAUAAACAUGUUUAUAAUAUAGCAUUUGUAAAUUCUGAACGCUGAUUGGCUAAGAGCCGUGUUGAUAUAACUCAAUGUCAACCAGUGCUCUCACUUUUAAGGAAUUAUUCUUAAAAAUAGGAAUUUUGAAGAGUUUUAAGGAUUUUUUUAAGGAAUUUAGGUUUUUGAGGAUUUUUUUAAGGAAUUUCCGAAACAUUUUAUCCUGGACUAAAAACGUUGGACGGAGGCAGAGGAGGAUAACCACGCCACGCAAAUGAGAUUUAAACUUGAAAGUAGCAACAUACGGACAUAAUUACAUUUAGUAUAAUUUUUAUUCACCGAUAAUCACAUCGCCUUCGGCGAAUAAUUGUUAAAUAUUCGUAUGUUCUCUAUGUCAUAAAUGUUCGGUGUUCCUGUACCAAUUUGGUUCCAGUACCAAAUAACACAAAUCACACUCAUAUGAUGUAAUUGUCAUCAUAAUAUAAUAGUAUAUGUUUCUGUACAUAGCCUGGCAUGUGAUUUAUAACAAAACUUAAAACAGUGUCUUGAAACCCUUGUUUUUUACAAAAUGUGUUCUCAGAACGCUGAAAAUGCCAUUUACGGGAUUCAAAUUUUAAAAUUUUUCCGUGCCUUUGGCACGAGCCCCCCCCCCCAAUAUUUCGUAAAGUGGUUCCGCCACUGGUCUUUUCAUUAAAAUUCUCAAACGUUAAAUGUCAGUAUAUGCUGUUUCUUCUGAAAUCUACAGAUUGUUUAAGCUCUUCAUGCAGCAACGAUCAAAAAUACAUCAUGUUGAAUGUUUUCUUUAUGGCAUUACGCUAUUUAGUGCUUAGAAACAAAGUUAUAAAAACUGAAAAAAGGAGGAAAAAACACUUUUUCCAACUGUGUGAUCAGGCCUUUUGGUAAUUUUACCAAUUUAAGGAAUUUUAAGGAAAUCUGAGGAAUUUUCGAGCUUUUUCUAAGGAAUUCGAAAAUUUGAUUGUGAGAGCACUGAUGUCAACACGGGAAAUUUUCCGCCGCUCGUAAACACGGAAAUUUUUCUCAUCCUUCGGGCUUUUGACAUUGCUAUAUUAUAAAAAAAAUAUAAAACAUUUUUCCGUAUUGAUAUAUAGUUAUAUCAACACUCGUGGAAGUUGGGAAAACGAGAAAUUUCCCAAUUCCACUCGUGUUGAUAUAACUGUAUAUCAACACGGAAAAUGUUUUAUAUUUGUUAAAUAUAAUACAACAACUACAUGUGAUCUGUUGAUAGGAAUUUGAAUAAGUUUUUAGCAGGCAUGAUUUAGGAUUUUUGUUUUAUUUCAAUUUAUGAAAUUCUAUAAAUGGGCGGCACAACUAAUUUGAGAUAUAAUAAUGUAUAAAAUAUGGAUUGUAAAUUUUGUAAUUUUAGAAAAUAAUAAAGUUCUUAUAAUAUAUAUGUAUCUAAUACAACAACUACAUGUGAUAUGUUGAUAGGAAUUUGAAUAAGUUUUUAGUAGGCAUGAUUUGGUAUUUUUGUUUUAAUUUAUGAUUUUCUAUAAAUGAGUGCCCCAACUAAUUUGAGAUAUAAUAAUGUAUAAAAUAUAGAUUGUAAAUUUUGUAAUAUAGAAAAUAAUAGAGUUCUUAUAACAUAUAUGUAUCUAGUAGAACAACUACAUGUGAUAUGUUGAUAGGAAUUUGAAUAAGUUUUUAGUAGGCAUGAAUUAGGAUUUUUGUUUUAUUUCUAUUUAUGAAAUUCUAUAAAUGGGUGGCACAACUAAUUUGAGAUAUAAUAAUGUAUAAAAUAUAGAUUGUAAAUUUUGUAAUAUAGAAAAUAAUAAAGUUCUUAUAAUAUAUAUGUAUCUAAUACAACAACUACAUGUGAUAUGUUGAUAGGAAUUUGAAUAAGUUUUUAGUAGGCAUGAUUUAGUAUUUUUGUUUUAAUUUAUGAUUUUCUAUAAAUGAGUGCCCCAACUAAUUUGAGAAAUAAUAAUGUAUAAAAUAUAGAUUGUAAAUUUUGUAAUAUAGAAAAUAAUAGAGUUCUUAUAAUAUAUAUGUAUCUAAUACAACAACUACAUGUGAUGUGUUGAUAGGAAUUUGAAUAAGUUUUUAGUAGGCAUGAUUUAGGAUUUUUGUUUUAAUUUAUGAUUUUCUAUUAAUGGGUGCCCCAACUAAUUUGAAAUAUAAUAAUGUAUAAUAUAUAGAUUGUAAAUUUUGUAAUAUAGAAAAUAAUAAAGUUCUUAUAAUAUACAUGUAUCUAAUACAACAACUAUACAUGUGAUAUGUUGAUAGGAAUUUGAAUAAGUUUUUAGUAGGCAUGAUUUAGGAUUUUUGUUUUAUUUCUAUAUUUGUGCUAUUCUAUAAAUGAGUGCCCCAACUAAUUUGAGAAAUAAUAAUGUAUAAAAUAUAGAUUGUAAAUUUUGUAAUAUAGAAAAUAAUAGAGUUCUUAUAACAUAUAUGUAUCUAAUACAACAACUACAUGUGAUAUGUUGAUAGGAAUUUGAAUAAGUUCUUAGCAGGCAUGAUUUAGGAUUUUUGUUUUAUUUCUAUUUAUGCUAUUCUAUAAAUGGGCGGCACAACUAAUUUGAGAUAUAAUAAUGUAUAAUAUAUAGAUUGUAAAAUUUUAUAAUAUAGAAAAUAAUAGAAUUCUUAUAAUAUAUAUGUAUCUAAUACAACAACUACAUGUGAUAUGUUGAUAGGAAUUUGAAUAAGUUUUUAGUAGGCAUGAUUUAGGAUUUUUGUUUUAAUUGAUGAUUUUCUAUAAAUGAGUGCCCCAACUAAUUUGAGAUAUAAUAAUGUAUAAAAUGUAGAUUGUAAAAUUUUAUAAUAUAGAAAAUAAUAGUUAUAAUAUAUCUAUCUAUCUAAUACAAACAAGUAGUCUGUGAUAUGUUGAUAGGAAUUUGAAUAAGUUUUUAGUAGGCAUGAUUUAGAAUUUGUUUUAUUUCUAUUUAUGAUAUUCUAUAAAUGGGAACCACAACUAAUCUGAGAUAUAAUAAUAUAUAGAGCUGCUCCCAUCGGUUAAUUUUCGUAAUCAACGAAGUUUACCGAACACCUUUGAGUGUUAGUUUUGCCCAAAAUUUAUUUAUUGUUUUCCACGAGCAUUUAUAGACUAGUUAUACUUACAAAUGCUAUAUUAUAAAUAUGUAUCUAAUACAACUACAUGUUGAUAUAAUACAGCUAUAUGUUGAUAGGAAUGUUAACAAUUAAACUCCUCAUUAAUAAUUCAUGAGGAAAACACAAAGAAAAAUCAUACGCAUGCCGUAGCUUUAUAUGUGAUAAAACUUAUCUUCAUUAGUAUGUUUAUAUAACGCUUCAUCUUAAUUAGUAUUCUUUUGUAGUCGGAGUUUAAUUAAGCCAUUUAAAGCACUUGUAGUUGUAGGCCAGAUUUAGAACUUUUGUUUUAUGUUACGAUUUUCAUGCGGAAUGGCGGCCCCAACUAAGUUGAAAUGUAAUAAUGUAUAUUAGUAUAAUUACAUAGGUGAUUAUUAAAAAUUCUCCAUGCUGAUUGGUUGCCGUUGAGGUGAUUAUAACACGAUAAUUACCUAAGCAAUUUUUGCCAUGGCGACAAAGCCGUUUUGUCAAUCAAAUGACAAAAAAAAGGGGGUGGUAUUUUUUAUUUUUUUUCCCAAAUAAUCACCUUUGAAAUUAUACUAAUACAAUUAUUCACCAAUAAUAGAAUUUCUAUAAUAUAUACAUGUUAUUUUCUGCCAAUUGAGAAACGAAAAAGGCAGAAAAUGUUUUUCUCACACACUGCUGGGGCGGGGGGGGGGGGCUGCAUCAAAAGCUUUGCAGUAAUAAAUUUAUGUGGUUUUUUCCACAAACAAAAAAGUAUUAUACAUACUAUUUGAAUUUUAGUCUACAGUAGGCCUGAUUUAGGAUUUUUGUUCUUAUUUAUGAUUUUCUAUCAAUGUAGCCCCGACUAAUUUGAGUUAUAAUAAUCUAUAAUAUAUAGAUUGUAAAUUUGGUAAUAAUAGAGAUCCUAUUUAAUACAACUGCAUGAUAUAUGUUGAUAGGAAUUUGAACAAGUUUUUUUAGGCAUGAUUUAGGAUAAUUUUGUUUUAUUCAUGAUUUUCUAUAAAUGGGGGGGGGGCACUCAAACGGCAUGGUUUCUGAACAUUAAUUAGACUUCAUUUUGCAUGCUUACUAUUUUACCAGUAAGAAUUAUAUUGAGAUUUGAAAGCCAUUGUUUUCAACUACAUAAAGCCUGCAUGGGUAGUAGCAUUACAACUUUAUUAUUUUUCCAAGGUCUCUGCGAGACAUCGAGUCAUUCAGCAUGGGCAAGCAGUACAUGUAAAAAGAAAGGCGCCGCUUUUUGGGUGUACUAUUUGUCCACGUGGAAUGGCUGGAAGUGCUGCAGGUAUCUUGGGAUAUCUAAUAAAGUUGUGACGUUAUUUCGGUGCUGUUUCUAUAAAGUGCAGCUUGCUUAUGGCUAUAUGCGUUAGCCUAAAAAAUUAAGUUAUUUUUCAAAUAAAACGUUAAGUGCUGUUUCCAUAAAAAAGACUGCUUACUUCUGGCCCUAGCCAAAAAAUAACAACUACGGUUUUACUACGGUUUGCCCCAUAUUUGGGAUGUUUGCCCACACAUCAACAUUUGUGCUUCAGUAUGGGAAAGGACGAAACUGCUACUA